UAUUUUUCUAAAUAUUAAUCUAUAUAUUACUUUAAUGUUUAUUAAUGUACUGCAUAAUUCCUUAAAUGAUAUAUAUAAAUGUUUGUGUAGUAUGUGUGUAUCUGUCUAUAUAUACACACACCAUAAGCUUUUUAACAAGACCUCUUUUCCUGGAACUUUGCUCAGUAAUUUUUAAAUUUUUUUGUAGAGACAGGGUCUCACUAUGUUAUUCAGGCUAAUCUCCAACUUCUGGCCUCAAGUGAAUUUCACAUCUU
rnacentral:lncRNA from 1 species